rnacentral:rRNA from 1 species
UACAGAGGGUGCAAGCGUUAAUCGGAAUUAUUGGGCGUAAAGGGUGCGUAGGCGGCGCGGUAAGUCGGGUGUGAAAUCUCGGGGCUUAACUCCGAAACUGCAUUCGAUACUGCCGUGCUUGAGGACUGGAGAGGAGACUGGAAUUUACGGUGUAGCGGUGAAAUGCGUAGAUAUCGUAAGGAAGACCAGUGGCGAAGGCGGGUCUCUGGACAGUUCCUGACGCUGAGGCACGAAGGCCAGGGGAGCAAACGGG